rnacentral:lncRNA from 1 species
UUUUGGCAAAUUAUUGCAAUUCUCUAGAAUUCUCUGUUAAUUGAUAUAGAAUAGCAUGUCAUUGUGUUAUCUAGGUUUGUUUGCAUGUCUAAGAGUUGUAUUAUGGGUUUAAAAUCAUGCUUGAGGUUGAUUAUGUUGGAACUCUGCCAAAGUAGAGUCCUUAUUUUUCAUUCUGGUCAAAGUGGCGUUGCCGCGCCACUUCUAUAGUACAUGACCGCGCGGCCGCGCCUGCUGCCAGUCAUGUGUACUAAUUUUUGUGAUCAUGUUCCAUUCUGAGCAUGUUACUUUGAAUUGAAUAUGC